AUGCUUAAUUUUAUAUCAUUGAUUAAAAAUUAAAAAAAUAGUAACCAGCCGUAGUUACAACUUGAAAUAAUUAAUUUCAGAAACGAGAGCAUUCUAAUUAUCAGCAACCAUGGUUUAUUUCCAGUGACCACUUGCAUGCAUUUUGUUGAACCGCAAGUUUUAAGAACUUUACAAUAUUUAAGUGUAUUUUUGAAAAACUUUAGGGUAGAUAAGCACUGUCCAAGUAUCUAUGACAUCUACUUGUAGAAAAACGGCAUUUGUAUGCAUCUCGGAAGUGGUUUUCUAGUGAAGUUGAAGUAAUCGAGAGUGUCAUUUGCUGUGUGAAAGUCCACUUUCACCUAUGUGUUGUAACUAUUUAUGGUAAUGUCACUCACGACUACAUAUAUUUUUCUGGUUCCUAAGUUUGGUCAUGUGAUAGUAAAGAAAUGAUUGUUCAUAAUGUAUGAUUGUUUACAAUGAAAUGAAGGUGAUUUCACAAAUUGUGCUGCUGUGUUAUGCUUGGAUUACAGAUGCUAUGCUUUCGGAUUUCAUUUGACAUCGAUAUUUAUCUCUUUUUAAUUGAAGUAAAAGUCAAGCUUGUGAGUUAAAAUAAGUAAGAAGCCAUACAUAUCUUGUGGCGUGUAUGAGGUCUCCCCCGACUACGGUAUUCAUGAAUCUUAGCAGGCUAACCAUUUUUUAGCAUAAUAAAACAACUGAGCCAGAGCCAAAGAGUAAUGCCAAUUAUUUUCAUACUACAAGACCCAGGCUCGGGAUGCCAUGAUUCCAUCAUUCUAGUGCAAACUUUUACUAGAUGAUGCAAACUUUUGUAUCAUCUAAACUCUAAUCUUUUGUUUCCUUGUGUUUGGGAAUGUUGUUCAUACAAUGGGAAAUUUGGACAGAUUGCUCUUUAUUAGAAGAGAAUGGGCGAGGUUUAAGAUAUAACUCUCUCAGUCAACGCGGUUUAUGAGAUUUUUCCAAUAGUUUAUAGUGUUAAAUAGAAUUUAAUCAUGAUUAAGUAACGAGCCUUUCUUCUUCUUAUUCUUCGAAUUCUCAACUAAAGCCACUGUAGUGAGUAGUAUCUUAUUGCACAUAGUAAAGAUUAUGUUUUCUCUCUCUUUAAACUGCAGAUUAGUUUUGUUGAUGAUCUUUCUUUGCCGUUUCUUUCUAAACCCUUGGUGGAUUCUUAGCUAAUUCAAGUAAGGAGUGCUUGUCUCAUCUCAAAGGUUUGCUGAAGCUUUAAGGUAAUGAAUCCGAUAUCAGGUGAACCGGGAUGUCAGUUUGGGGAAUGAAACAAAAUUGGUAUCAGAACGCUAUGUGUAAUAAUUAAGAUCUUAUUUUUGCCAGCUAGCCUUCAUUCUGUUUUGUUGAUACUCUGAAGUCUGUUAUUGCCAUUAUUCUGUUUUGUCUGAUUCUGUUUGCUGGGUUAUACUGUGCUUGCCCUUUAAUAUUCACGAUGUAAUUAAUAUAUGUAUUUUUGCCAGCUAGCCUUUCAUUGCGGUGUCUGAUUCUGUUU